rnacentral:rRNA from 1 species
GUGCGUAGGUGGUUACCUAAGCAGGGGGUGAAAGGCAGUGGCUCAACCAUUGUUAGCCCCCUGAACUGGGCUACUUGAGUGCAGGAGAGGAAAGCGGAAUUCCUAGUGUAGCGGUGAAAUGCGUAGAUAUUAGGAGGAACACCAGUGGCGAAGGCGGCUUUCUGGACUGUAACUGACACUGAGGCACGAAAGUGUGGGGAGCAAACAGGAUUAGAUACCCUGGUAGUCCACACCGUAAACGAUGAGCACUAGGUGUCGGGGUCGCAAGACUUCGGUGCCGCAGUUAACGCAUUAAGUGCUCCGCCUGGGGAGUACGUACGCAAGUAUGAAACUCAAAGGAAUUGACGGGGACCCGCACAAGCAGCGGAGCAUGUGGUUUAAUUCGAAGCAACGCGAAGAACCUUACCAGGACUUGACAUCCCGAUGACCGGUCCUUAACCGGACCUUCUCUUCGGAGCAUCGGUGACAGGUGGUGCAUGGUUGUCGUCAGCUCGUGUCGUGAGAUGUUGGGUUAAGUCCCGCAACGAGCGCAACCCUUGUCAUUAGUUGCCAUCAUUGAGUUGGGCACUCUAGUGAGACUGCCGGGGACAACUCGGAGGAAGGUGGGGAUGACGUCAAAUCAUCAUGCCCCUUAUGUUCUGGGCUACACACGUGCUACAAUGGUUGGUACAAAGAGCAGCAAUACCGUGAGGUGGAGCAAAUCUCAAAAACCAAUCCCAGUUCGGAUUGUAGGCUGCAACUCGCCUACAUGAAGUUGGAGUUGCU